CCUACGGGAGGCAGCAGUGAGGAAUAUUGGUCAAUGGACGAGAGUCUGAACCAGCCAAGUAGCGUGAAGGAUGACUGCCCUAUGGGUUGUAAACUUCUUUUAUAAAGGAAUAAAACGAGGCACGUGUGCCUUUUUGCAUGUACUUUAUGAAUAAGGAUCGGCUAACUCCGUGCCAGCAGCCGCGGUAAUACGGAGGAUCCGAGCGUUAUCCGGAUUUAUUGGGUUUAAAGGGAGCGUAGAUGGGUUGUUAAGUCAGUUGUGAAAGUUUGCGGCUCAACCGUAAAAUUGCAAUUGAUACUGGCAGUCUUGAGUACAGUUGAGGUAGGCGGAAUUCGUGGUGUAGCGGUGAAAUGCUUAGAUAUCACGAAGAACACCGAUUGCGAAGGCAGCUUACUAAACUGUGACUGACAUUGAUGCUCGAAAGUGUGGGUAUCGAACAGGAUUAGAUACCCUGGUAGUC
rnacentral:rRNA from 1 species